GCGGGGCCCCAUCGCGUCACGCGGGGUCGGAGGUCACAGGCGUCGGCCACCACCGCCACCACCAACCCACCGGCCGUGAUUUGUGGUUUAUUUUUGAUGUCGCCUUUGGACCGCGUCGUCGUUACGAAGAAUCGAUUCGUCCGUCAACGCCAAUCCCGUCGUCAGUCACGGGCGAUGAUUUCCGCGCGCGGUGUGACGCCGAGCGCGGGCGAGCGACGCCGCGGCUGUUGACCGAGCGGGAGGCGAGGGGCCGCGAUGUCAGCGGGCGGCGGCCCAGGGACCCGGGCCGAGGCUGAGAUUGGCCCCGAAUUUGGGCCAGGGGCCGGGUCAGUGUCUGGUUCAAGAUCAGAAUCUGUACUUGGAUCUCGACCAGGGUCUGGCUUAGGCUUAGAACUUGGAUCAGUGGUAGCACCUGGGUCUGAAGCUGGCUUUGGGUCAGUCCCCGCGUCUGAGUCUGGCUUUGGGUCUGGCUCUUUAUAUUGGAUUGAGUCUGAGCCUGCGUCGGUAUUUGGACCGCGGGAUGGGUCCGUGCCAUUGUUUGGAUCGGAACAUGGAAUUGGACCUGGGUCUAGUCCUACUACUCCGUGCACUUUGGGGCCUGGGAAUGAGCCAGUGCCAAGGUUUGAGUCUGACCCGAGACCAGAUUCUGUCUUAGGAUCUGGCUCUGAAACAAGUUUAGCCGGAUCUGGGUCUCGGUCAGGAUCAGCAACAGAGUCUGGGACAGUAUCUGAGCCAGAGUCAGGCACGGAACUCGCACAAGGACUGCGUGCGGACAUGAUGGGGACGCCCAUGGAGCAGGAGGAGGACAUGGUGACAGACGCCGCGGAGAUCCGCGCGCCCUGUAAGCCACCAGCACACAACUCGGAGCACCAGCGACAGAGCAGUGAGUGGGAGAAUCUGACUGGCUACCUACAGAAGUACACCAACCUGGUGACUGGUUGGCAGUUCAGAUAUUUCGUGCUGGUUGGAGCUGAGGGGCGUCUGGAGUAUCACGUGCAUGAGCAUAGUGCACAGGGAGGCCAGAAACCACGGGGCACCAUUGCUCUGGCAGGCGCUGUGACCUCUCCCAGCGAGGAGGAACCCUAUGCCUUCACGAUCAUCACCUUGACUGGGGAGCAGUACCGCCUGAGGGCCAAGGACGCGCGGGAAAGACAGCACUGGGUGAGCCGCCUACAGGGGUGUGCGCAGCACCACACUGAUUGCAUUGGCAUGAUGAAUCCUGUGUUGGGUCAUGAACUCUACCUCUCGGGGGUCAAGAGGUCAGCGCUAUCUCCUGGGGCCUUAUUGCGAAGGCCAUAUGCGACAAGGGAGGAUGCAAUUGCAGAUAAAAGACACUCAUAUCCAGGCAGCAAGACUUUAAUACAUGGAAACAACUGGCUGUCCGAUGCACAGUGGCUUUGCGUGUGUCUGUGCCAGAUGCUGGUGCGUGCCUAUGAGGAGCAGCGUGCCCUGGCGUUGACCAUGGAAGCUCUGCCACGCUCACACGCUCGCAUCACACCGCUGGAUCCUGACCUUCUUCUGCUCAAAGCAUCGGCCGUCUCAGCCCUUGGCUGCCUGCACGCCUGUCUGCACCUGCUGCAAAUGCAGCGUAGUGCGGCGCACACCCACCGAGGGCGGGCCAGGGUCGGUGGGGGCGGCAGAGGCAGUGACGGUGGCGGGAGUUCUCCGGGUCGGCAGCACAGUGUGGCCAUGGCAGACCCUGCGGGGAGAGUCCACUCAUUGCAACCUGUCGUGGUAGCCCCUGUGCCACCGUGCGAUUCUGUGAACCCCGGGAACAUGUGCUCUCACGCCCCAGACGGCACAUCGGACACUUCUCAUCAUGAGUCGGAGCCAGCUCCACCACCUUCUUCUGUCUCAAUGUCAGCACAGCAGGAUUUAAUGGGCUCGUUUCAGGGAGUGGGGUGGAACGGACCACAUUGGGGUGGCGAACAAGAGGACUGCGACGAGGAUGAGCUGACCGAUGAGGGCGAACUUGAUGAGCUGGAUCUGCCUCCGCCCCAAGGGGAGGAGCACUACAGCAUCAUUUUGCACAUGCUGUCUCAGCUCAAGCUCGGCAUGGACCUUACUAAGGUGGUGCUGCCCACCUUCAUCCUGGAGUGUCGCUCGCUGCUGGAGAUGUUUUCCGACUUCAUGGCGCACACGGAUGCAUUCCUGGCUGUGGCGUGGGGCCAAACUGCAGAGGAGCGCAUGUGUCUACUCCUGCAGUACUACCUGUCCUCCUUUCGCGAGGGCCGCAAGGGCGCCGUUGCCAAGAAACCGUACAACCCCAUAAUCGGCGAAGCUUUCCGCUGCUCUUGGCUCGUGCCGCGUACUUGGGUGAUGGCGAAAAGCCGUAAGGAAGUCAGUCCUGGGUCUGUGAAGAACUCACCUGGGUGUGGAACUGAGUCUGACUAUAGUUCAGGGGAGAAGCCCGAGCCGAGGUCAAAUGUGGCAUACCGAAGGACGCGGGCGGGAGGAGAGGAUGCCGGUGAAGACGGGUGCUACCGUGUUUGGUUCGUGGCAGAGCAGGUGUCUCACCACCCACCCGUAUCGGCCUUUUAUGUGGAGUGCGCGGAGCUGGGAAUGUGCCUCAACGUACACCUAUGGACCAAGAGCAAGUUCCUAGGCAUGUCUGUGGGCGUCUCAAUGGUCGGGGAAGGGAGGUUGUGGCUGCAGGAGCACGGCGAGGAGUACGUAUUCACGCUGCCGAGCGGAUACGCUCGCUCCAUUCUCACCGUACCCUGGGUGGAGCUGGGAGGAAAAGUGUCCAUUACCUGUGCCCGCACUUGCCUUGCUGCUUCCGUAAAUUUCCACACCAAGCCCUUCUAUGGAGGCAAGCUGCACAGGUGAAAAGGGCAGUAAGAUAGCAGCGGUAUAAUGGGUACUACAUGAAUUACACUUAAGCAUUGGAAGACUGGAUGACACAGAAAAGGUGUACAGGAAACCCUUGUUAAUUCGACACAUUUGGGUCUGUGGCCUUGCCGAAUUAUCCAUUAUUCCGAAUUAUGUACAAUGGUACUCCCGAGUGCCUCCUGCCCCAAUAAAGAAAAAUCCAGUGUGUUUUCCAAACUCUUCAUACACCAUAUGCAUUGACACACCUUCAUCAAUUAUAUCCACAAUUUUGGAUUUGUCUCAGAGACUAAAGGAUUUAUACUUCAGUCCCUUUCCAUUACUUCUUAGGUGCAGACGACAUUUCUGAGAGGGUUGGCUUGCACAGAGUGCAUCAACAAGGUAAAGUCCAAAGCAACAGGUCUGCAGUAACGCUCACCACGCACGCCGCCACUCGACUGAGUCGUUGUUUUGGUCGUGGCGCGUGGAGUCCACGCGUAUGCGGAAAUUGGAUCAUUCGGUACGGCAGUUCGGCUCAUGGAAAAUUACUAACAUGCUAUAUAUGUCGAAAGUGCACCCGUGCCAAAUUAUCCCCAAUUACGAAUGAUCAUAUACCGAAAUAACAAAGUUUUACUGUAUUUGGAUCAGCAGCCGAGUCUUUGGUAAAUUAGUUUAUGCAGCAUGUGCACAAGUUAUGAGGUUGUUUAGGUGGACACACCCCAUAGAGGUCAUUAGAAUGAAUUGGUUCAUAAGUAUGCGGAGGUAACAGGUGGAAAUGAUAUGUGCAGAUAACGGGCUGCAGAAAUCAAUGACUGAAGUUGUGUUCCCCUUUCCUUUAAUACAGGAGUAACGUUUUACAUAAUUGUACUUAGAGCAAUGCUAAUUUUUUUAACUGAAGGCCAUUCAUAAUGUAUACAGUAAUGGUUGACGGACAAAUAUAAUAGUUGACACUGAUAUGAUACUGGUCAUUUGAGUUUGAUUUCUGGCCAGGCAUAUCUGAACUUGGUUAUGGACAACCCCAAGAUAAAUUCAGCCUAAAAUGAGUAGUGCAUUGCGCAUAAGCACUUGGUAGAUGAAAGCAGGCCGUCGAGAUGCCAGCCAUAUCACACCUCUGCCAGCCUUGAUAGUUGUGAAAUAAAAACAAUCCCCAAUAUCUACAAUGUUGGAUGCUGCCAUAGUGGAAUGGUUAGCACACUGGAUUUAAGAAAUUCCCCAUAUCUGUCCACACAGAAGUAUAAAUAGGUCCACCACAGUUGAUUAGCAGGUCGCAAAUGGUGGGGAAAGUGUGCGUACCCCCCACCUCUUCCAAGAUGCCUAAUCAGCACGGAAGAGUAGGCCAAAUACUCCAUCUAUUGAAGGCCUUUCUGCCAGAAGUGACAUGAGCUAUACAUUACAAGCCGGGCACAUUUACCAUUUUUACCUAUAAGGUUAAAUGCCACACCUGACAUUUUUGUCCAUGCGUGCG